AAUUUUUUAUAAGCAAGAUCAUUUUAUUAGAGAAUGAGAGGAAAAACCAUCAACAGAGAGCCCCAAGACCAACAGGUCCAGCCCCAAUAGACCCAAACCUAAAAACUAAGUCUUUGUAGGCAAUGAAAAAGCCCCCUCCACACAUUACAUAGAAGAUAAAAGUUGGACAAAAUGAAGAGAAAGAACAACUAAAACAUGAAUUACAUUAGCAAGCCAACCUAGAAAAGCAAUUACAAAAGAACACAGUAGAACCAGAAAGAGCACGCAAACUAGCGGAUCCAAAAGAUGAAAAAGCCAACAAAUGUAGCAGCAAUCACACACGCAGCAGACCAACAACACCAAAAUUGUAGCACAAGGACAAUCAAAACACGGCAACAAAAUUUUCACUGUGAUUUAACCCCGCUUGGCCAACACAUCGACGAUAGACUUAGCUUCCCGUGGAAUAUGACUAACAUAAACAGGGGGAAGGCCACUCAGACACUCACUAAUGAAAUUAGUUGGUGAUGAAAAUUGCCAAGGAGCAGAAUCUAGGUGCAAAACCCAGGAAGAUGCAAUCUUAGAGUCUGAUUCUAUAUAAAUAGAGUGAGCAAAGCCACAUAAAUCAAGUAUUGCCACAGAUAACUCCAAAGUUUUCUUGAUGGCUAAUAGUUCAGCAACAUUCGAAUCUAAAAUACGGUGGGGCAAGAAAAGAUACAAAUGAAGCUGCUUCUUGAAUCCCUUAAAACACCACCUACAGCACUUCUACCAGGCUUACCCAGAGAGGAGCCAUCGACGUUCCAUUUGAAAAAUAGCAGGGGAGGAUCGGGAGGAGAUUGCCAAAGCACAUUUGGAUGAUGCUUUGGGGGAUUCGAUUAGGAUCGGAUAGUUGCAGAUGUCAACAAUAAAUCUAAACCUGUAAAACGAAGGGAAGCAUCUGGAGCCUUCAUCCAAGAAGAUAAGCAACGAAAGAUAAGGGAGCAUAGAUCUGUAGUUGAGAUGUCCUUGUCAUUGAAAACUUUAUCAUUCCUAACCAACCAAAUAGACCACAUAAUUGUAUAGAACAAAUUUAUCUAGAACCUUUUUUGAAAUUUUCCUUGAAUAAAAAAUCCCCAUUCAACAAAGAGAGCAUGGAUUGAAUUUGGCAAACAAAAAGAGAACUCCCACCAAUUGAGGAACCAACACCAGAUACGCUAGGAAUAAAUAUGGUCUAGAAAAAUAUGAGACACAAUCUCCUUUUCCCAACCACAGCUCAGACAAGUAUUAAGGUCAACAAGGAUGAGAUUAAUAUGGCACAACUAAUCCUUAGAACAUAAUCUCCCUUGAAACGCCAGCCACACCAAGACUUCUACCUUCAAAGGAGCAAGACCUUUCCAGACAGAUUGAAAAUUAGAAGAGUGUUGGAUUGAGGCACUGGUGAGGCUCUUAUAAAGAGAAUUAAGAGAGAAAACACCAUUGGUGUUACAAAUCAACCUAUCAGAGUGUGACCUACAUAGAUGGACUGGCUGAAG
rnacentral:misc_RNA from 1 species